CCUACGGGAGGCAGCAGUAAGGAAUAUUGGUCAAUGGACGAAAGUCUGAACCAGCCAUGCCGCGUGGAGGAUGAAGGUCCUCUGGAUUGUAAACUUCUUUUAUAUGGGACGAAAAAGGGCUUUUCUAAGUCAACUGACGGUACCAUAUGAAUAAGCGCCGGCUAACUCCGUGCCAGCAGCCGCGGUAAUACGGA
rnacentral:rRNA from 1 species